CUGAGUGGAGGUCAGAGGUUAAACCCUGAGGCAGGAUCUUGUGUCUGCUGCUGGGCUGCAUAUUCCAAGUUUGCUGGCUCCCAGGCUUCAGAUGAUUCUACCUCCCAUUCUAACAGGAAUACUGCCAGUGUUACAGAUGUGCACCACUACAUCCGGCUUUUUCCAUGGCUUCUGGGAAUGAACUCAGGUUGUUAGGCUUGUGUGACUAGUGUCGUGACCGGUUGAGCCACCUCCCCAGCCAGUGAGGUGUUUGAUUUUCUUAAAUUCUGUGUCCCACGUGAGCCCCAGGAGACACUCUUUUGGCUUGUUGAUCCUUCUGAGCUGAAGGAGGGAAGUACACUGAAAGCCUUUUAUAUAGCAGCAGAACACUGAACCUCCCAAGAGCUGAUUGGAUUUCCUGCAUCAAAGGGGAGAUUUCACCAGAGAGAUAACCUAGGUGUUGAGUGCUGGCAGCGGAAGAGAGGAGGAGAGGUAGCCAUCUUCAGCAUGUGUCACCAAACACAGCCUGUGAAAUGCCCGUGUUGGCUGACUCAUGUGGCUGCGGUGAGUUCUGGACCUGCUUUCAUGCAGGAUCACUCACGGUUGCCUUGGUAACCUGCUUAACCUCCCAUGGUUCUCAUUAGUAAACGAGAGCUCACAAUGUGUCCCUCACAGGGAUGUUCUAAAGAUAAGUGGGUCAGGAAGUAAAGAGAGACAAUUAAAUAGGUAGAAGACAGAUAGUGUGUUGAUAGGUAAUAGAUGAUGAAUAGAGAGAGAUGAUAGAUAAGUGGACAGAUUUGUGUAUGCCUGGUAUACCCUGAGUACUCAAAAAAAGCACAGCUAUUCUCACUUCAGUGUAACAUUCUCUACCUUCUAAGAGCCGUAUCUCCGUAUCUCUUCAUGCUUGGAACCUGACCCAGCUAACUUUACAACGUCCAGAGGGUAGAGCAAACCAGUUAAUAAUGUGGCUUAGAAUACAUGUGAGAAAUUGUUAUUCAGCAGGAAAAGUCUGGAUAAUCGGCUGUAGGACUUGCUGCUGUGUGCACUCAAGGGUUGUCCCGCACACGUCUGAGCUUCUGUCUCCCUCCCCAAGUGAGAGUCAUGGCUUCCCUGCGGGAAUCUACAGAGCAGCGGUACAAUACUGUAGUGGGCUGCAGCACACUGGAGGGUGGCUGGGUGAAGGUAUCAGUCCUUCGGUGGCCUCAUUUCCACGUCUGGGCUGGCUCACUAGGUUCCGAUGCUGCACUUUAAUGAUCUUUAGAUGUGGCUUCUUUUUAGGGGCUUUAGAAUGGCAGACCUUUCUGCUGAUGGUAACUUAACCUAGUAGGGCUAUGGAAGGAACAAUAUGUUUCUAGCUAGACUGUCACUUUAAGUGCAUGGGCUAGCUAGAUGGCAUGUCUGGUGCAACACCAUUCCCUUCCGUGAGGGAAUGCAGAAUGCUGUGACCAUGCAAAUCUCCCUCUUGGUUCUGCCUGGAACCCUGCCCUUCCGUUUGUGUUCCUGGAUGUUUAUAACGGACUCACGCAGUGCCUAAUGAGUAGUAACCACCCAGUAAGUGCACUACUACUGCCUCAACCCCCAUUUGUGCUGGCUUUCAUUGCACUGACCUCCGCCUGGGAGCAGAGUUGGAGCUUGUCUGGGGGACAUUCUCUUAAGGCUUUGAGCUACUGCCUGCUACCCUUCUUGGCGACGAUUUGCCUCUGUCUAACUUCUGCUGUUAUGCUUUCUUCCUCUUUUUAGAUGGCGAGAGGAAGACUACAGACAGCCCCUUCCAGGAAGAGGCGUCCUCUUGCUUCCUUGCACCUAGCGUCUGUCUUUCUCCUCUACCCAUGCUGCCCUCCAUUUGUGGCAGCCACGGACAUCUCUGCCACUUUGCAGUACUAAGUCUAUGAUGGAUGGCCAGCAAUCACACUUGAUAAAUUACAGAGGGAAGUUUUCAUUUAGUCAAUAUUUGAUGGUAUCUCUUAGAAGUGGACAUCAUUCUAUCCAUGGUUUGCACAGAAACAUAUUUGAAAUUGUUAUCUGAAAAAAGCUAAAACAUGAAUUCUCUCAUCUAAAUGUCUAAUAGAAGAAAACAACUUGUUCAGCCUUUUUUAAAAAGAGGGAAAAAAAAAAACACGAUGUCCCAAAGCCUGGAAGAGUGGAUUUGAAGGUCUUGAGUUUUAGGCCAAUCUUGGCUGUGUACAAUAACAAGACCCUUCCCAAGGUGAAAACAAAACAAUGAAACAAAUUCCUAAGUUUCAAGAAGAUGGAUGAAUGUGGAAGCUAUUGUGCUGAGUGGAAUAGGACACAAGCUCACAUCCAUAAGGGAUGUAGAGCAGCCACAGUCGUGAAAACAGAGGAUGAUGGGGAGGAGGAGGAACAGGAGAAUGGGGAAACCAGAAGUGUUGGAGUGUGCAGGGUCCAUCACAGGUUGGGUUUUGCAGAGCUAGCUCCUCACGUGCUGACAGUCCUUAGUAAAUGUGUGGUGGUGUACUUCAAAUUCGGUGCGGAUAGAUUGUGAAUGUUCACAUACAGAGAGAGUAGCAGCUAUGCGGGAUGACAUAUGCUAAGUAGCUUAUUCAUGGCAGCUUGUGUUGUAAAUGAAAACAUCAUGCUGUACACUCUAAAUAUGUGGGGUUUUCUUUUCAUUAUACCUCAGUAAAGCUGGAAAACGUGAUAUAAAAUAGAAUAAAUACUCCUGUGCUGAUUUGCUAUGAAAAUCUCUCUAUUUCAGAAGCUCCGAUGUUAAUGUGUGAAUUUGGGAAACAUAGAAAAAUGUUUUGAAAUGAAGAAUCACUCAUUAUCUCAUUGCCCAAAGUGUGAGCAUCUGAUUUGUGUUUUGAGUUGGAAAUGAGUGUUUGUAAGAGUGUACCAUUUCAAAAAUAACAAAACAAGUAUGCUUUUUUUUUCAUCUGUGCUCUUUGUGACAGGGUGUGAGGGAGCAGUUUACUAUCUCUGAAAGGAUGACCUUCGUGAUGCUGAUCCUUAUUGUCAGUGUAAGAGCAAAGGAGGAAGAGAUUUGAAAGAACAAAGGUUGGUCAUACACUAACAGCAUCAAGACUUAAAGAUCUGUCCUGUCACCUGCUUUCUGGGAUCUGUCUACACUUAUCCACUCAGCAGCACUCAUUUUCUACGGGUCCUGUGUGGACAGGGGGCUACAAACAACACAGAAAACGUGUUCCCUUUGUGAAGCCUCCCAUCCAGUGAAGAGAGGAACAAAGUGAAUGCCAUAUGCCUGCUGUCUAGUAAAUCAAAAGAUGGAGAUCCCAGGAAAAGAGGAGAGCUGAGUAAGGAGGCCAGAUGGCCCCAGGGAGUAAAGAGGCUGAGGAUUUAAUGGGAGGUCAGAUAGCCCCUUAGUGAGAAGGGGACAUUUGAUCAGAGACAUGAAAGAUGUGAGUGACACUGUGCCCAGUAAGGCCUGGAUGGAUGCUUCCAGCAGAGGUACUGGCCAGGACAAGGUUUCUGCCAUGGGUAGGGGGACAAAGAGACCAGGGUGGCAGAUACAGGCUGACUCACAGAUGUAGGAAGAAGAGCUCAGAGAGGCCAGGCGGUGACUAUGUAGGGUCACCAACGAUGGCACAGGAAGAAUUUGGGACUUCCUGAAAGUGAGUCGGAGGUAGCCUUCUUGUGGUGAGUCCUGUCACGUGUUUUCAAAGAGUCUCCUGGCAACCUAAAGAGACUCCAGUAGGGUCAAGGGCAGGGCAGGCAGGGUAGAGCUGUAAAUACCCAGAGCCCUCAGGGCUAGAGGUGGUGAGUGAGGGAGCCCAGGGCUCCUGUAAGGUUCUUGAGAUUUCCUGAGGUGGGUGGUGUGAGGCAGGGUCAAGAAAGAUUUCUGUUUUUCUUGCUUGCUUUCUUUCUUUUUCAGUUUUUUAAUUGUUCUUUUUUUAAUUACUUGUUUUAGAUUAUAAUUACAUAGUUUCUCCCUUUCUUUCCCCCCAAUCCCUCCCAUAUAGCCCUUCUUGCUCUCAUAUUAAAUCUGUGUACACAUAGUUAAUAUACAUAAAAUAUACGUAUGUCACCUGCUCA